GAAAGUAAGAAAGGGCGUAUGGCGGAUGCCUAGGCUCACGGAGGCGAUGAAGGACGUGAUAAGCUGCGAUAAGCUUCGGGUAGGUGCAAAUAACCCUUGAUCCGGAGAUUUCCGAAUGGGACAACCUAGCCGUCUGAAGGACGGUUACUAGCACUUAAGUGUUAGAGCUAACGCAGGGAACUGAAACAUCUUAGUACCUGCAGGAAGAGAAAAUAAAUGAAUGAUUCCCCCAGUAGUGGCGAGCGAACGGGGAACAGCCCAAACCAGUGGCGUCGCAAGGCGUGGCUGGGGUUGUAGGACCGCAACAUUGUAUGCAAAUCGUGAACAGAACACUUUGGAAAAUGUGACCAUAGACGGUGAUAGUCCAGUAUGUGAAGCGAAAUGCAGCAUAGCGGUAUCCUGAGUAACGCGGGACACGAGGAAUCCUGCGCGAAUCUGCCGGGACCAUCCGGUAAGGCUAAAUACUCCCGUGAGACCGAUAGCGAACGAGUACUGUGAAGGAAAGGUGAAAAGAACCCCGAGCAGGGGAGUGAAAUAGUUCCUGAAACCAUACGCCUACAAGCGGUCGGAGCAUCUUACGAUGUGACGGCGUGCCUUUUGCAUAAUGAUCCUACGAGUUACCGUCACUGGCGAGGUUGAGUGUCACGAGACACGUAGCCGCAGUGAAAGCGAGCCUGAAUAGGGCGCAUAGUCAGUGGGGGUAGACGCGAAACCAAGUGAUCUACACUUGGCCAGGAUGAAGUCCCGGUAACACGGGAUGGAGGUCCGCACCAAUAAGCGUUGAAAAGCUUCUGGAUGAGCCGAGUGUAGGAGUGAAAGGCCAAUCAAACUUGGAGAUAGCUCGUACUCCCCGAAAGGCAUUUAGGUGCCGCGUCGGAUGGUCACCGUGAGAGGUAGAGCGACCGAUAGGACAAGAGGGCUUCACCGCCUAUCGAGUCCUGACGAACUCCGAAUGCUCACGGUCUGCAGUCCGGCAGUAAGGGGGCGGGUGCUAAGGUCCGUCCCCGAGAGGAGAAGAAUCCAGACCGCCGUCUAAGGUCCCGGAGUUCUGCCUGAGUUAGUCUAACGAAGUCUGGUCCCUAUGACAGCUAGGAUGUUGGCUUGGAAGCAGCCAUUCAUUCAAAGAGUGCGUAACAGCUCACUAGUCGAGGGUCCGGGCAUGGAUAAUAAUCGGGUAUAAGGCAGACACCGAAGGCGCGGGAUAGCAUUUAAGAAAGUAUCGGUAGGGGAGCAUACUCACAGCGUGGAAUGGUGUACGUAAGUUAUCCUGGAGCGGUGAGUAAAGCAAAUGUAGGAAUAAGUAACGAUAAGGAGGGUUAGAUUCCCUCCCGCUGUAAGACCAAGGUUUCCCGGGCAAUGCCAAUCAGCCCGGGGUCAGUCGGGUCCUAAGUCUAAGCCGAACGGCGAUGGCGAUGGCAGAGACGGUUAAUAUUCCGUCACUGCCGCAUGGGGCGACGUGGAGACGGAGCAGUGAAACCACCGCGGGGCGACGGAAGUCCCCGUUGAAGAGUGUAGGUGUUGAGGAUGGCAGGCAAAUCCACCGUCCGAGCUGAACUUGAUAGUAUGGAGUCUUCUUCGGAAGAAUCCAAUAGUGUGGGUAAUCAUACUCCCGAGAAAAUCCGCUAAGCUUAACCCAUGCGGCACCCGUACCGCAAACGGACACACGUGGUCGGGUAGAACAUACUAAGGCGUUGAGAGAUUCAUGGUUAAGGAACUAGGCAAAUUGACCCUGUAACUUCGGGAUAAAGGGUCCUCGUGAUGAGCGAGGCGCAGAGAAUAGGUCCAGGCAACUGUUUAACAAAAACACAGGGCUGUGCAAACUCGAAAGAUGACGUAUACAGCCUGACACCUGCCCGGUGCCGGAAGGUUAAGAGGAGAUGUCACACUUAUGUGGAAGCAUUGAAUUGAAGCCCCGGUAAACGGCGGCCGUAACUAUAACGGUCCUAAGGUAGCGAAAUUCCUUGUCGGGU
rnacentral:rRNA from 1 species